rnacentral:rRNA from 1 species
GACGAACGCUGGCGGCGUGCUUAACACAUGCGAGUCGAACGGAAAGGCCCUGCUUUUGUGGGGUGCUCGAGUGGCGAACGGGUGAGUAACACGUGAGUAACCUGCCCUUGACUUUGGGAUAACUUCAGGAAACUGGGGCUAAUACCGGAUAGGAGCUCCUGCUGCAUGGUGGGGGUUGGAAAGUUUCGGCGGUUGGGGAUGGACUCGCGGCUUAUCAGCUUGUUGGUGGGGUAGUGGCUUACCAAGGCUUUGACGGGUAGCCGGCCUGAGAGGGUGACCGGCCACAUUGGGACUGAGAUACGGCCCAGACUCCUACGGGAGGCAGCAGUGGGGAAUAUUGCACAAUGGGCGGAAGCCUGAUGCAGCAACGCCGCGGGCGGGAUGACGGCCUUCGGGUUGUAAACCGCUUUCGCCUGUGACGAAGCGUGAGUGACGGUAAUGGGUAAAGAAGCACCGGCUAACUACGUG